AGGGGGUGGGGGUCUGCGGGCCUGGAUCUGUGGACGGGCUCCUAAUCCUCUUGUUUUCGGAACCGUCAGCAGAUGCGGCUUCCUUUACCUGAAUAAUCCUUUAAAGGAGUAAUAAUUUUUAAAAAGGAGCUCGACCUCAGCCAAAGAGGACGGCGCACGAGAUUAGGGCUUGUAGAUCCACUGCCUUUGGUUGGGCCGGCUGAAUCGCUGGGGACUGCGGCCAGUCUCUUAAAAAAGGAGAACAAAAAGCCGAAGACCUUGUGUGGCCGCCGGGACAAAGCACCUUGGGUUCGGCGAGAAGGGACGCGCAGGAGCGCUGAACCCAGAACACGCGUGGCCGCUGCGGAAGGGCGUCCGCCCGGCGUGCGGAACGCUGAGGGGACUCUCAUCCUCUGUCUCGCCCCCUUUUUUUGACCCGGGGAUCCAGCCGCAUUAUACACGAGUGACCUUUUAAAUCUACGUCCACCCUUUACCUGCGAGAGGACUGCAGCAGGCGAGUUCCGGAAGGCUGAAUCCCCAGGUCCCAGCCCCGGACCGCGGCAACUCGCCCCUGCGGCACGCCCGGCCCGGCUGCGCCCCCACUCAGCGAUGGAGGAAAAAGCCUGGAUGCGAAAGGAUGGGGGAGAACAAAGAGCCUUUGGAAGACGUCGCUGUUAUCUCAUUGUCUGUGUGAUUGGGGGAGCUGCGGCGGGGAGGAUGCUGUGGUCCCUUCCUCCGGCGUUCCCCACCCCCAUCCCUCUCCCCGCUGUCAGUGCGCACGCACACGCGCCGCUUUUUAUUUCUUUUUCCUGGUUUUCUUAUUCCAUCUUCUACCCACCCCUCUUCCUUUCUUUCACCUUUCCUUCCUUCCUUCCUCCUUUCCUUCCUCAGGAGAAAGGCCUCUCUCUCCGUGUUCACAGCGGACCUUGAUUUAAAUGUCCAUACAAUUAAGGCACGCGGUGAAUGCCAAGAAUGGGGCUGGCUGAGCACCGUGGGUCGGCGAGGGCCCGCCAAGGAAGGAGCGACCGACCGAGCCAGGCGCCCUCCGCAGACCUCCGCGCAGCGGCCGCGGGCGCGAGGGGAGGGGUCUGGAGCUCCCUCCGGCUGCCUGUCCCGCACCGGAGCCCGUGGGGUGGGGAGGUGUGCAGCCUGUGACAGACAGGGGCUUAGAGAUGCAAACAGACUCAGGGAGAGAAACAGAAGCUGAUUCUGUGACAGAAGCAGAUCUGUGCAGCACAGAUGCGGUGUGCGUGGGGAGGGGGUCGCCUGGGAGCGCAUUGCGGAGUGCUUGUGUGUGCAGAUUUUUCUCUGGGCUCAGGACUCAUUGUAUGUGGGUCAACACCUUCCUCCGUGACUGUGUUUUUGUUCUGAGCUGAGUUUUUUGGUUUGCCCUUAAAAAAAUAAUAAUUUGGCAUCCAGAGACUGGCA
rnacentral:lncRNA from 10 species